UACGAAGGGGGCUAGCGUUGUUCGGAAUUACUGGGCGUAAAGCGUGCGCAGGCGGCUGCUCAAGUCAGGGGUGAAAGCCCAGAGCUCAACUCUGGAAUUGCCUUUGAGACUGAGUGGCUUGAGUACGGGAGAGGUGAGUGGAAUUCCCAGUGUAGAGGUGAAAUGCGUAGAUAUUGGGAAGAACACCGGUGGCGAAGGCGGCUCACUGGCCCGUAACUGACGCUCAUGCACGACAGCGUGGGGAUCAAACAGG
rnacentral:rRNA from 1 species